rnacentral:rRNA from 1 species
UACGUAGGGUGCGAGCGUUGUCCGGAAUUAUUGGGCGUAAAGCGCGCGCAGGCGGUUCCUUAAGUCUGAUGUGAAAGCCCCCGGCUCAACCGGGGAGGGUCAUUGGAAACUGGGGAACUUGAGUACUGAAGAGGAAAGCGGAAUUCCACGUGUAGCGGUGAAAUGCGUAGAGAUGUGGAGGAACACCAGUGGCGAAGGCGGCUUUUUGGUCUGUAACUGACGCUGAGGCGCGAAAGCGUGGGGAGCAAACAGG